rnacentral:rRNA from 1 species
UUAGAGUUUGAUCCUGGCUCAGAUUGAACGCUGGCGGCAGGCUUAACACAUGCAAGUCGAGCGGGGAAAGGUAGCUUGCUACCUGACCUAGCGGCGGACGGGUGAGUAAUGCUUAGGAAUCUGCCUAUUAGUGGGGGACAACAUUCCGAAAGGAAUGCUAAUACCGCAUACGCCCUACGGGGGAAAGCAGGGGAUCUUCGGACCUUGCGCUAAUAGAUGAGCCUAAGUCAGAUUAGCUAGUUGGUGGGGUAAAGGCCUACCAAGGCGACGAUCUGUAGCGGGUCUGAGAGGAUGAUCCGCCACACUGGGACUGAGACACGGCCCAGACUCCUACGGGAGGCAGCAGUGGGGAAUAUUGGACAAUGGGCGCAAGCCUGAUCCAGCCAUGCCGCGUGUGUGAAGAAGGCCUUUUGGUUGUAAAGCACUUUAAGCGAGGAGGAGGCUACUUAGAUUAAUACUCCUAGGAUAGUG